rnacentral:misc_RNA from 1 species
UUUUUUUUUUUUUUUUUUUGUCAAGAGAUAGAUAUUAGUUCACUGAUUUAAAAAGGAUUAGGGCCCAAUUACAAUAGAGUCCAAAAACACGUAUCAACAAACUAAGCUCAUUAAGGUUGGGCCCAAUACAAAGAAAACCCUAAUCUAUAAUGGGUUUAAGACUUGGAUACCUUAAUCCGGUCAAGGAACCACAGCUUCCAGAUCGCUGCAAACUAGCACCCAUUAUCGGUCACCUGAGAAGACUUCUAGACCCAGCCAUGGUGGAAAAGUAGAGGAUUUUGCACAACUAUCACCACAAAGACAUAAACAAUCAACUAAAGAUCAAAGAAGCAUCACUCAUUACUAUCAUCUAAGGAACUUUAAGGAUUCAGAGAUUGACAGUACCCUAGGCCGAGGGAAAGCAGCACCAUCAGAGCAUCGUUUUGGUGAAGGAAGGAAGAGGCUUAUGCCUAUCAGGCCACUCAAAGCCUAGCGAGAUACCUUCUUAUCAAUGAAUUGCCUCCUCACACCAUCACAAACUAAGGGAAACACCGAUGCCUAACUUCCAAACCCACUACUAGUAUGGUUGACAUAGAGGUUAUUGAGUAAAUGACCCAAAGGAAGACCACAACUGUGGCAACUCAAUUGCAUGCAACCACAAAAAUAGGCAGAUCCUACAAAAAAUCACUCAAUAAACACUAUAGCUGCCUUCAUGCUCCUCAUUUUAGAAAGAAUAAAAGAAAAACAUAAGAACUAAAACAGGCCAAAACUAAACACUCACACUAAGCACUGCUUAUAAACAACCAAUAAAUCCAAAACAAAUAUAUACACCUAACUGGAUGUGAUAAGGGAUAACCCACAAUCGGCAAGGAGGGCGACCUUCCCUUAUUCGGAGGGUUAGGAGCGAGCCACCUAAGACAGUAGAUUCAAAAGGAUGAAACCCUCAGGAGCUAGAGAGAAAAGAGAAAGAUAGUGGUGAGUGAGCCAAAUUGAGUGGUCG